UCAGUACGUUUGGUGCGUUAAAUGCGUCCACUGUAUUUGUUGGUUAUUGUAUUUUUCUUGUGUCUGUUGUUGUGUUAUUUGUUAUUAUAAUUGCACGUAAUUUUCAUAAUAGCCCAUGAUUGACCGAAAAAUGAAAGCGUAUUAAUUAAUGUUUAUUUCGGUACUGCCGCAACAUCUACAGAUGGAAUGGUGCUCGAAGGUUUCCUUGAUUUCGUUUGCGCUUAUCUAUUCGAGAUUGGCUAACAAAUAAGAGAAAUUGAAAAGUUCAUUUUGGCCAUAGCGAUGACAACAUGGGAUGUCUGACUUGGUGUUUUUUCUCGAUUUGGCUUGCUUUCCACACAUGUCAUUCAUGGAACCUUAUAUUCCACAGUUAAUUCAGAGAUUACCCGAUAAGUUAAGUUUAUUCUGAUACUGCCGGAAUAUCUACAGAUGGGAUAGGAUGGUGUGCAAUGGUGAAAUUCUACCUGCAUUAUUACCUGCAAAUAUGAUACCAUUGAUUGUAGGAGUCCUCUUCUCCAGAAAGUAGGAGUAUCCCAAGAAAUUCUAAAAGUGCCUUUUUGCCACAACAAAGACAUUACUUGUUCAUUUGUGGAAAUGAAUUAUCAACAUGAAUGGUAUACUACACAGAAGUUAACACAGUCAAGAGUACUCGGGAUGCCAUGUAUUAUGCGACAUUGGUUCCUCAUUCACUCUAGGUAGUAGAAGUACCUGAAGUCCUGAGGAGAGCGUGAAGGUGCCUUUUUUACAUUUGGAACAGAAACAGUGUGUUAUUGCUAAAGGAAAGAUUUAUGAAACUAUGAGACGGAUUGAAAUGUCGGAUGCAGAAUGUGUGAAUGUUAGCUUAAUACAAGGGAUAAACCAUUUAAUCUUUUUUAAACUGCAGUAUGAACUGACUGUAUUUUUAUUUUUGACUUUAAUUUAAUAGUCAGAAGAAAUGUGAUAAGGAUGAAAUAUCAUAACAGUUGUUUAUUUGGCUUAUUACUAAAGAUUGGUUAACAAAUGGGAGAGAUUGGAAUGUUAAUUUUAACCCUAACGAUGACGACAUGGGAUGUCUGCAUGGGUAUCCUUUCUGAAUUUGGUUUUCAUUCCACACAUGUAAACGUUGAAACACUACAUUCUACAGCUAAUUCAGGUAAUAAUACAUGGUUAAAUUAAUAUUAAUUACACUUUAUUAAUCUGUUGUCAAUUUGAUUAACAAAAGACGUUCUGAAUUCAUAGGAUGACGUACGUAUGUUACUUCUUUGUAUAAUACCGUUAGAUUGUCCAUUAUUUUGCUGGGGUUAAAGGUUAUUGUGAACUUCAAUUUAUCCAAUUUUUUUCUAAAAAGGCUUGGUUGGCGUUUAUAGUCCCACUACAUUUUGGUGAGUUUGUCAUAAAAAUUCAUAGAGAACAUCGAUUUACAUUUCCAACCACCCAAUUUAACCAAGACUUUUAUGUCUUGAUUAUUAAUAUUUUAAACCCUGAUUUUGAAAUUCGAGUCUUUAAUAAGUAAAGGAAUUCAGAAAUACUACUGCAGCUUGACGUUCAGAAUACUUUGCAGUAAAGUGGGUUGCAUAUAUCAAAGACAAAAUAUUUAAAACUAAAUCCAUUUUAAAUCCAUGUUAUGAUGGUACGUUCCCGCGAAAUUAAAGAGUGCGCUGUAGUCUAAAUAAAAAUAAAGAUGUUACAGUGCGAGUCGAAAUUUGUAAGCAGCUAAAUUUUUGGAUUUAAAUAAAACAACCUAAAUUUAUAUGAUACAUAAGCAAUCUAUGAAAAUAAAUAAGAUUUUACAACACAACGCUGCUAAUAUAAGUGGUUUGUUUUCAUUUUGUUUUGUAUAUUUCUUUAACGUGAGCAUUUUUACCUUGUGUCCUGUACAUUUCAACUUUUUAUACGAUUCCUGAUAAUGAUAGUUAAAAAUGCGGACAAAAAAGUGUUGGUUUUAUUUGAAAAAGUUGUGAUGAGAGAUUGAUAAACUCGUAACAGUUGCUUAUUUCGUGGGCAUCUGAAGUCUAUAAUUUAUUUCUACGUUUCCAAAAAGAAUUGUAUUUCAAAAAAAUUUCCGUAUUUUGAAAUUGCAUACAAAGGAAAUGAAGUUUCAGUUAUAAAACCGUUGUAAAAAGGGCAUGCACCUUUCGUUGGCACAAAAAUGAAAAAAUUAGUUAUUUUGAAUUAUCCCAAAUGAAAUCGAAAAUUUCCCACCCUUAUACCAACAAAAGAUGCUUGUCAAGUUUUUCACAACGGAUUUAAAACUAAAACUUAUGAUUAUGUUCCUGUAUAAGCUUAAUGUUACAUUCUGUUUUUUUUUUUUGAUAUGAGCAAUAGUCUGUACCAUGUAUGUCAUCUUUUGGUUUUCUUUAAACACCUGAAUAGAAAUAAUUGUCUCUGCAUUAUGUAUACGUAUGCAAAGUACAUAUUAUAUCA